rnacentral:tRNA from 3 species
GGACAGGUGGCCGAGUGGUCGAAGGCGCACCGCUGGAAACGGUGUAGGCGUCAAAAGCGUCUCGAGGGUUCGAAUCCCUCCCUGUCCG